rnacentral:rRNA from 1 species
GAUGAACGCUGGCGGCGUGCCUAAUACAUGCAAGUCGAGCGAGCCGUGGACGGGUGAGGAACACGUGGAUAACCUUAUAUAAGACUGGGAUAACUUCGGGAAACCGGAUAUAAACCGGACCCUUAUAGUUGGUUCCGCGCUGCAUUAGCUAGUUGGUAAGGUAACGUCUUACCAAGGCAAAGAUGCAUAGCCGACCUGAGAGGAUGAUCGGCCACACUGGAACUGAGACACGGUCCAGACUCCUACGGGAGGCGGCAGUAGGGAAUCUUCCGCAAUGGGCGAAAGCCUGACGUAGCAACGCCGCGUGAGUGAUGAAGGUCUUCGGAUCGUAAAACUCUGUUAUUAGGGAGGCGGUACCUAAUCAGAAAGCCUCGGCUAACUACGUGCCAGCAGCCGCGGUAAUUC